rnacentral:rRNA from 1 species
GACGAACGCUGGCGGCGUGCUUAACACAUGCAAGUCGAACGGGAAGGCCCUGCUUUUGUGGGGUGCUCGAGUGGCGAACGGGUGAGUAACACGUGAGUAACCUGCCCUUGACUUUGGGAUAACUUCAGGAAACUGGGGCUAAUACCGGAUAGGAGCUCCUGCUGCAUGGUGGGGGUUGGAAAGUUUCGGCGGUUGGGGAUGGACUCGCGGCUUAUCAGCUUGUUGGUGGGGUAGUGGCUUACCAAGGCUUUGACGGGUAGCCGGCCUGAGAGGGUGACCGGCCACAUUGGGACUGAGAUACGGCCCAGACUCCUACGGGGGGCAGCAGUGGGGAAUAUUGCACAAUGGGCGGAAGCCUGAUGCGGCAACGCCGCGUGCGGGAUGACGGCCUUCGGGUUGUAAACCGCUUUCGCCUGUGACGAAGCGUGAGUGACGGUAAUGGGUAAAGAAGCACCGGCUAACUACGUG